UGUCUAAGUAUAAGCACUUUAUACUGUGAAACUGCGAAUGGCUCAUUAAAUCAGUUAUCGUUUAUUUGAUAGUACCUUACUACAUGGAUACCUGUGGUAAUUCUAGAGCUAAUACAUGCUGAAAACCUCGACUUCGGAAGGGGUGUAUUUAUUAGAUAAAAAACCAAUGCCCUUCGGGGCUCCUUGGUGAAUCAUAAUAACUUAACGAAUCGCAUGGCCUUGCGCCGGCGAUGGUUCAUUCAAAUUUCUGCCCUAUCAACUUUCGAUGGUAGGAUAGUGGCCUACCAUGGUGGCAACGGGUAACGGGGAAUUAGGGUUCGAUUCCGGAGAGGGAGCCUGAGAAACGGCUACCACAUCCAAGGAAGGCAGCAGGCGCGCAAAUUACCCAAUCCCGACACGGGGAGGUAGUGACAAUAAAUACUGAUACGGGGCUCUUUUGGGUCUCGUAAUUGGAAUGAGUACAAUCUAAAUCCCUUAACGAGGAACAAUUGGAGGGCAAGUCUGGUGCCAGCAGCCGCGGUAAUUCCAGCUCCAAUAGCGUAUAUUAAAGUUGUUGCAGUUAAAAAGCUCGUAGUUGAACCUUGGGUCUGGCUGGCCGGUCCGCCUCACCGCGAGUACUGGUCCGGCUGGACCUUUCCUUCUGGGGAAUCUCAUGGCCUUCACUGGCUGUGGGGGGAACCAGGACUUUUACUGUGAAAAAAUUAGAGUGUUCAAAGCAGGCCUUUGCUCGAAUACAUUAGCAUGGAAUAAUAGAAUAGGACGUGCGGUUCUAUUUUGUUGGUUUCUAGGACCGCCGUAAUGAUUAAUAGGGAUAGUCGGGGGCGUCAGUAUUCAGCUGUCAGAGGUGAAAUUCUUGGAUUUGCUGAAGACUAACUACUGCGAAAGCAUUCGCCAAGGAUGUUUUCAUUAAUCAGGGAACGAAAGUUAGGGGAUCGAAGACGAUCAGAUACCGUCGUAGUCUUAACCAUAAACUAUGCCGACUAGGGAUCGGACGGUGUUUCUAUUAUGACCCGUUCGGCACCUUACGAGAAAUCAAAGUUUUUGGGUUCUGGGGGGAGUAUGGUCGCAAGGCUGAAACUUAGAGGAUUUGACG
rnacentral:rRNA from 1 species